rnacentral:lncRNA from 1 species
GGUUCAACUGGUUUCAUCUCCUUCAGUGGUGUAGAGUCUGCUCUCUCCUCCUUGAAAAACUUCCAAGCCUGUAUCAACUCUGGUAUGGACACAGCUUCUAGUGUUGCUUUGGAUCUUGUGGAAAGUCAGACUGAAGUGAGUAGUGAAUAUAGUAUGGACAAGGCAAUGGUUGAAUUUGCUACAUUGGAUCGGCAACUAAACCAUUAUGUAAAGGCUGUUCAAUCUACAAUAAAUCAUCUAGGUGUGGUGGCGCACGCCUGUAGUUCCAGCUACUUGGGAGGCUGAAGUGGGAGGAUCACUUGAGCCCAGGAGUUCAAGAUCAGCCUGGACAACAUAGUGAAAGAAGAACGUCCAGAAAAAAUACCAGAUUUAAAAUUAUUGGUAGAGAAGAAAUUUUUGGCUUUACAGAGCAAGAAUUCUGAUGCAGACUUUCAAAAUAAUGAAAAAUUUGUACAGUUUAAACAACAGCUGAAAGAACUAAAGAAGCAAUGUAAGUCAACAUGCUUUGCUUUGGUUCGGCUUUUUGAAAUUAGGGAACUGACUUGAUGAACAGCCCCAGUUAACUGAUUUUAUAAAGUUUGCUUAUCUGCUUGGCUUGAUCCUCAUUCUAAGUUGCGUUUUAUUGUUGUUGCAAUUCUGUAUUUUGUCUAAUUUUUGGUUCAAA